AUUGAACGCUGGCGGCAUGCUUUACACAUGCAAGUCGAACGGUAACAGGCCGCAAGGUGCUGACGAGUGGCGAACGGGUGAGUAAUGCAUCGGAACGUGCCCAGUCGUGGGGGAUAACGCAGCGAAAGCUGCGCUAAUACCGCAUACGAUCUAUGGAUGAAAGCGGGGGACCGUAAGGCCUCGCGCGAUUGGAGCGGCCGAUGUCAGAUUAGGUAGUUGGUGAGGUAAAGGCUCACCAAGCCGACGAUCUGUAGCUGGUCCGAGAGGACGACCAGCCACACUGGGACUGAGACACGGCCCAGCCUCCGACGGGAGGCAGAAGUGGGGAAUUUUGGACAAUGGGGGCAACCCUGAUCCAGCAAUGCCGCGUGCAGGAAGAAGGCCUUCGGGUUGUAAACUGCUUUUGUACGGAACGAAACGGCUCUGGUUAAUACCUGGGGCUAAUGACGGUACCGUAAGAAUAAGCACCGGCUAACUACGUGCCAGCCGCCGCCGUAAUAC
rnacentral:rRNA from 1 species